UAAUAGACCUGGCAAGGGAGAUAACCAUGAUCACGAAGGUGGUUUUCCCAGGGCGAGGCUUAUCCAUUGCACUCCUGAUGUACUGACCCCUGCGAUUUCCCUGAAUGUGGGAAACUCGACUGCAUAAUUUAUGGUAUUGGGGGACUGCGUUCACACUCUCCCCUG
rnacentral:snRNA from 1 species